rnacentral:rRNA from 1 species
GUGCCUACGGGACGCAGCAGUGGGGAAUAUUGCACAAUGGGCGAAACCCUGAUGCAGCGAUGCCGCGUGGAGGAAGAAGGUUUUCGGAUUGUAAACUCCUUUUAUCAGGGACGAUAAUGACGGUACCUGAAGAAAAAGCUCCGGCUAACUACGUGCCAGCAGCCGCGGUAAUACGUAGGGAGCAAGCGUUAUCCGGAUUUACUGGGGGUAAAGGGUGCGCAGGUGGCAGGGCAAGUCAGA